UCUUAUGUACAUGCCUAUAGCAUUAACCCAGCGGAUCCCAUUAGAACUCUACAGAUAAGUAUGUUUGGGCUAGAGUAGUACUAGGAUGGGUGACCUCUCGGGAAGUCCUAGUGUUUUACAUGCA
rnacentral:rRNA from 1 species